GGGGCGGUCGCCUCCCAAAGAGUAACGGAGGCGCCCAAAGGUUCCCUCAGUACGGUUGGAAAUCGUACGCAGAGUGCAAAGGCAUAAGGGAGCUUGACUGCAAGACCUACAAGUCGAGCAGGGACGAAAGUCGGGCUUAGUGAUCCGGUGGUUCUGUAUGGAAGGGCCAUCGCUCAACGGAUAAAAGGUACUCCGGGGAUAACAGGCUUAUCGCUCCCGAGCGUCCAUAGCGGCGGAGCGGUUUGG
rnacentral:rRNA from 1 species